ACUCCAUCCCUUCUCACUCACUGCGCUCUCAGAAAAGACAGAUUACAAAAAAGAAAGAAAAAAAGCAUUAGUUGUUCAUCAAGAACGAGGAAAGUAAGGGGAGGAAUAACUAUGAUGAUCCUUUCUGUGAUGCUUCUAAAUAUCAACCCUUAACCAAACUUCUCUCUCCUCAUUUACUCCUCUCUCUCUCUCUCUCCUCCUCCUUAAAUUCUCUCCUUUUCUUUGCUCUAUUUCAUGGCUGCGUUUCAAGGAAGAAGACGACGAAGAAGAUGAGGCUCUUUCAUGGGGGUUUCUCAAAGGGUUUCCAACAGAAUUUAUUGGCAUUCUGUCCACCUCAAAUACCCAAAACAAGGUUUAUCAACAAAAACCUUAAAAAUCACGAAAGCCCUUUGCUUUGUGUGUUGUGUUGUGUUGUUUGGUUUGUUCUUUCAACUUGGAGGUGGGCAUACUGCCAAUUGAGCUCUGUUUGGCUCCUCUUUGUAACACCCUCUUGAUCCCUACAUCCCUUCAUCAUCAUGUUGUACGAGGUUUCUGAUGUAGCCGGACGGCGGUGGCGAGUUUCUGUUUUUCCCGACGACCAAGUGUGGUGGCGGCGGUGGUGACGGCGGCGGUGCAGUUAUGCCACCCUUCUGCUACUGUCCCUAUUAAAACCUCCACGUUAAUUUAGUAUUGAAUUCCAUGAAAUCCAAGAGUUUAAGUGAAUGAAUGUAUUAGAUUUGUUGUUUGUUACAGGUUGAACCGUGUGGAUAUUGGGAGGUGGAUCAAGAACACGAAAAUGGGUGAGUAAAUUUGAUGUUUUUUUAAAGAAUUUGUUGUGGGUUUGUUUGUUCUUCGUGGAUCUUCUUUUAUGUGGUAAAAGUUAAUUAUGACGAUCUGUUCAAUAUUUCAUGAAAUUAUUUGGGGGAAAAUAGUGAGAUGGCGUGCGAAUUCUUGUCCCCAAAGUGAUGGCCCAGCUAGCUAAGGUGGUUUUUCUUGGGAGUGUUGGUGGGUAAUGGAAAGCCUUUUAUUUUCUAAUUUUAAUCUUUCAAAAAAAAUAAACAAAGAAAUUCAUGUGUUUA